GACGAACGCUGGCGGCGUGACUAAUACAUGCAAGUCGAACGGAGUGGAGAACGGGUGAGUAAUGUAUCGGAACGUGCCCAGUAGCGGGGGAUAACUACGCGAAAGCGUAGCUAAUACCGCAUACUCUCGGAGCGGCCGAUAUCGGCUUAUCUAGGUGGUGGGGUAACGGCUCACCAAGGCGCCGAGCCGUAGCUGGUUUGAUGGGACGACCAGCCACACUGGGACUGAGACACGGCCCAGACUCCUACGGGAGGCAGCAGUGGGGAAUUUUGGACAAUGGUGGAAACCCUGAUCCAGCCAUCCCGCGUGUGCGAUGAAGGCCUUCGGGUUGUAAAGCACUUUUGGCAGGAAAGCGGUACCUGCAGAAUAAGCACCGGCUAACUACGUGCCAGCAGCCGCGGUAAUAC
rnacentral:rRNA from 1 species